rnacentral:rRNA from 1 species
GAUGAACGCUGACAGAAUGCUUAACACAUGCAAGUCUUUGGCGAAGCUGUGCUUGCACAGCCUAGCCAAGGCGGACGGGUGAGUAACGCGUAAGGAACUUGCCCUGCAGUCAGGGAUAACAGACGGAAACGACUGAUAAGACCUGGUAAAGUCAGGCGGACUCAUGUCCAGCCUGAUGAAAAGAGAUGCUGCAGGAGAGCCUUGCGUCCUAUUAGCUUGUUGGUGGGGUAACGGCCCACCAAGGCGAUGAUAGGUAGCCGGCCUGAGAGAGUGGACGGCCACAAGGGGACUGAGAUACGGCCCUUACUCCUACGGGAGGCAGCAGUGGGGAAUAUUGGACAAUGGGGGCAACCCUGAUCCAGCAAUUCUGUGUGCACGAUGAAGGUUUUCGGAUUGUAAAGUGCUUUCAGCAGGGAAGAAAAAAAUGACGGUACCUGCAGAAGAAGCGACGGCUAAAUACGUG